AUGGCUCAGGAUGAACGCUAGCGACAGGCUUAACACAUGCAAGUCGAGGGGCAGCAUAGAAGUAGCAAUACUUGGUGGCGACCGGCGCACGGGUGAGUAACGCGUAUGCAACCUACCUAUCAGAGGGGAAUAACCCGGCGAAAGUCGGACUAAUACCGCAUAAAACAGGGGCACCGCAUGGUGAUAUUUGUUAAAGAAAUUCGCUGAUAGAUGGGCAUGCGUUCCAUUAGGUAGUUGGUGAGGUAACGGCUCACCAAGCCGACGAUGGAUAGGGGAACUGAGAGGUUGGUCCCCCACACUGGUACUGAGACACGGACCAGACUCCUACGGGAGGCAGCAGUGAGGAAUAUUGGUCAAUGGGCGGGAGCCUGAACCAGCCAAGUCGCGUGAAGGAAGAAGGAUCUAUGGUUCGUAAACUUCUUUUGCAGGGGAAUAAAGUGCAGGACGUGUCCUGUUUUGUAUGUACCCUGAGAAUAAGGAUCGGCUAACUCCGUGCCAGCCGCGGC
rnacentral:rRNA from 1 species